AGCGAACGCUGGCGGCAGGCCUAACACAUGCAAGUCGAACGAACUCUUCGGAGUUAGCGUCGGACGGGUGAGUAACACGUCGGAACGUGCCUUUAGGUUCGGCAUAACUCAGGGAAACUUGUGCUAAUAACGAAUGUGCCCUUCGGGGGAAAGAUUUCUCGCCGUUAGAGCGGCCCGAAUCUGAUUCGCUAGUUGGUGAGGUAAAGGCUCACCAAGGCCAGGAUUAGUAGCUGGUCUGAGAGGCUGAUCAGCCACAUUGGGACUGAGACACGGCCCGAACUCUUACGCGAGGCAGCAGAGGGGAAUCUUGCGCAAUGGGCGAAAGCCUGACGCAGCCAUGCCGCGUAAAUGAUGAAAGUCUUAGGAUUGUAAAAUUCUUUCACCGGAGACAAUAAUGACGGUACCUGAAGAAAAAGCCCCGGCUAACUCCGUG
rnacentral:rRNA from 1 species